rnacentral:rRNA from 1 species
CCUACGGGAGGCAGCAGGGAGGAAUAUUGGUCAAUGGACGAGAGUCUGAACCAGCCAAGUAGCGUGAAGGAUGACUGCCCUAUGGGUUGUAAACUUCUUUUAUAUGGGAAUAAAAUGUUCCACGUGUGGGAUUUUGUAUGUACCAUAUGAAUAAGGAUCGGCUAACUCCGUGCCAGCAGCCGCGGUAAUACGGAGGAUCCGAGCGUUAUCCGGAUUUAUUGGGUUUAAAGGGAGCGUAGGUGGAUUGUUAAGUCAGUUGUGAAAGUUUGCGGCUCAACCGUAAAAUUGCAGUUGAAACUGGCAGUCUUGAGUACAGUAGAGGUGGGCGGAAUUCGUGGUGUAGCGGUGAAAUGCUUAGAUAUCACGAAGAACUCCGAUUGCGAAGGCAGUUCACUGGACUGCAACUGACACUGAGGCUCGAAAGUGUGGGUAUCAAACAGGAUUAGAUACCCCUGUAGUC